UGGCGGACGGGUGAGUAAUGUCUGGGAAACUGCCCGAUGGAGGGGGAUAACUACUGGAAACGGUAGCUAAUACCGCAUAACGUCGCAAGACCAAAGAGGGGGACCUUCGGGCCUCUUGCCAUCGGAUGUGCCCAGAUGGGAUUAGCUAGUAGGUGGGGUAAUGGCUCACCUAGGCGACGAUCCCUAGCUGGUCUGAGAGGAUGACCAGCCACACUGGAACUGAGGCACGGUCCAG
rnacentral:rRNA from 1 species